UGGGAAGAGGAAGAUGCCAUUUUAUUGAAUAAUAAUAAAUACAAAAAAAGUCCAAUUAUGGAGAAAAGGGUAUUCAAAUAAUUGAUCCAACCAUACAAUAAUGUCCUAGUCACGAAUUAAUGUUAUUUGUGAAGCUUCGAAAGAGCUGAUUGUGAUAAAGAGAAACAGAAGGAUCCUGUUGAGUUCACAGGGAUAUGUGGUGUGAAAAUAAUAGUGAGAAAGCACAUUGUAUGUAUUUUGAAUUGAAUAGAGUGGUCUUAGAAUAUGAAAGCAGCAGUGACCCUUGAGUUGAGGUUGUAUCAGCCAGCUAGCAUUCCUUGAAUCAUCAUAAUAUCCUUGUAUGACUGGACAAUAGAUCGAUGUCAGAUUACUUAUAUUUCUAGACAAAUAGGCAAAUUUCCUUUCACUAGAGACAUAAUAUGGACAUGGAAUAAACUACUCAAAACAGACACUGAACCCAUCAACUAAUAGAGUUUACAAUACUUUGUCCAAUUAUGACUAGUUUUCCGUUUUAAAUUUCUCUGAUCCUGACAAAUAAUGUAAGGUAGCAAACAAAAAUAUUGUAUUUCAAAACACUAUUCAAACGAAACUUCCAUGUAGGCUACUGUACACACUUGUUUGAAUGAGUUCCAAAGUCAUGCAUAAUGAUUCAUGAAUCCUAUUCUCUGCCCCAAUUCUGUGUAAUAAACCAGAGGCUUUCAUAUACAUCUUAUAAAUUCUCUUAUCCGCCACCUAUUGUUUGUUCACACGUAAUUUGUCAAUGAUCAGCCAAUAUAGUCUACAACUAGGACAAUCUUAGUCAUCAACAACUUCUACCAAUAGCUUGUGGUGUAGAUUUGUAUAUCUCUCUCACGCCCAACUUUCCUUGACAUCAACCACUUUAUCCUCAUACUUCUAUUUCUGCACAAAAUAUAAUUAGCUUUUGUUGACCAGCUUAAUUGAGAACAAUAAGGUGUUCAAACUGAGAAAGUGAUGAUAAAAAAGGCAACAACAAAAAUAUGAUUCUAAAUAAUACUUUGUUCUGUAUGUCCGUAAGAAAGGCAACAACAAAAAGAACAAUAUUUAAUACCAGUGUCAUUUUGAAACAGCCCUCAUUUCAAUAAUGAAUUUGUGGAUUAAUGUUUUGUAAAAAGUGUUUAAUGUAGAUUGAAUGACUAUUGAAUGUCUAUUAAAAGUAUUUAGUGAUAUUUAUGUUACUUUUUAUAUUUUGUACCAGAGGAUUAUUACAGAACAUUGUUUUAGCUUGAAUCUACUACAAAUGUAUCCCAAGUCAAACAAAAAAAAGAAAAAAAAUAUGAAAAGAAAAUAAUCAAAAGAGAGCUCAAUUCAAUCUCAAAAUUAUCUUCCUCUAGUUCUAACUUUUACACUGCAAAGUAUUGCACUAC
rnacentral:lncRNA from 1 species